ACACCACACUUAUGUUGUAAGACAGUAGUAGGUCCAUGGUAUGGUUGAAAUUCAGCAUGAUUUUACCCAAUACAUAGAUUAAAUGCAAAAAACAACAACAACCCUUCAUGCUAAAACAGAGAAAAUAAUUACAUGCAGUCACUUUUUAACUGAUACCCAUUAUCAUUAUAAGAACAAUAUUUAUUGUCUUACAUGACAAAACACACCCAAGGUUGACAUAAAGAUAUAUUAAAAUAAAAAUUCAAAUAUAAACUCAUCAAUAAAAAUUCUGAACAAAGAUACAAAUAUGAAAUAAUGAUCUAGAGAAAUAUAAAAAUUUCAGAUGCCUUACAAUGCCUCAUCUUCAUGUAUUUAAAGAACCACCAAUAUAAAACAAGCAAGAUAUACAACAUAUAUACAUACUGAAUCUCCAUAAAGAUCUUAUCAUAUAUAAAACCUGUUACAUCAAUUCUAAAAAUGAUACGCAGGCAAGCACAUUUCAGAUGAUAAAACCAUCACACUUGGACAAGACAAGCAUCAUUGCAUAUUCAUUCUAGGAUAAAAAUUAAACUAUUCAAUCUAUUUUUAAAUUCUUGAAGGCACAUACGAUUUCUAUAAUCAUGAAAGACUAUUAUUCAUUCAUUUUCUUCAAUGAAAGUUUGAUUUAUCACUAGACUAUAAUUACUGGAAUGAAAAUCAAAUGUAAUACAUAAAAUAAUAGUCCCAUAAUUGUAAAAUGGUCAAAAGCUACAUGUGGGGCUAUUAUUCAGUGGAAGGAAUGCCAUUUAUCCAGGGAAACAUAUAAAAAGGUAUGAGGGCUUGGCUAAAAAUGUUCUCUUUAAAACAUAGAUACAGUAUACAGUGUAUGUGUUUUUUCAAAUAUGAAAUUAGUUAUGGAGAUCAAAACAUUUUUAGGUCUACGUAAUAAAUUCAUUUUGUUUGUAAGUAAUGACACAAUAUAUAGGAGUACAAAUAUAAUAACGGUCAAGUCCACCUCAGAAAAAUGUGGAUUUGAAUCAAUAGCGAAAAAUCAAACGAGACUUACGGUGAAAAUUUUAUCAAAAUCGUAUGUAAAAU